rnacentral:rRNA from 1 species
UACGAAGGGGGGCUAGCGUUGCUCGGAAUCACUGGGCGUAAAGCGCACGUAGGCGGCUUCUUAAGUCAGGGGUGAAAUCCUGGAGCUCAACUCCAGAACUGCCUUUGAUACUGAGAGGCUCGAGUCCGGGAGAGGUGAGUGGAACUGCGAGUGUAGAGGUGAAAUUCGUAGAUAUUCGGAAGAACACCAGUGGCGAAGGGCGGCUCACUGGACCGGCAUUGACGCUGAGGUGCGAAAGCGUGGGGAGCAAACA